rnacentral:rRNA from 1 species
AUUGAACGCUGGCGGCAUGCCUUACACAUGCAAGUCGAACGGCAGCGGACCUUCGGGUGCCGGCGAGUGGCGAACGGGUGAGUAAUAUAUCGGAACGUACCUUUCAGUGGGGGGAUAACGUAGCGAAAGUUACGCUAAUACCGCAUAUUCUGUGAGCAGGAAAGCAGGGGAUCGCAAGACCUUGCGCUGAUUGAGCGGCCGAUAUCAGAUUAGCUAGUUGGUGAGGUAAAGGCUCACCAAGGCGACGGAUCUGUAGCGGGUCUGAGAGGAUGAUCCGCCACACUGGAACUGAGACACGGUCCAGACUCCUACGGGAGGCAGCAGUGGGGAAUUUUGGACAAUGGCGCAAGCCUGAUCCAGCCAUGCCGCGUGAGUG